UGCGAGUGAAGCGGCAAAAGCUCAAAUUUGAAAUCGGUGUGCCUAAAGUACAUUGAGUUGUAAUUUGGAGGGACAACUUCGGGCUGAACCACACCGUAAGUUUCUUGGAACAGGACAUCAUAGAGGGUGAGAAUCCCGUGUCUUGGUGUCGGGUCAAACCAUGUGAAGUGUCUCCGACGAGUCGAGUUGUUUGGGAAUGCAGCUCAAAAUGGGUGGUAAAUUUCAUCUAAAGCUAAAUAUUGGCGAGAGACCGAUAGCGCACAAGUAGAGUGAUCGAAAGAUGAAAAGCACUUUGAAAAGAGAGUUAAAAAGUACGUGAAAUUGUUGAAAGGGAAGCGCUUACGACCAGACUCGAUCUUUGGUGAUCAGCCGGACUUCGGUUCGGUGCCCUCGCCAUUGAUUGGGCCAGCAUCGGUUCUGACGGUGGGAUAAAAGGAGGAGGAAUGUAGCUCCUCUCGGGGAGUGUUAUAGCCACCUUCACAAUGCUACCAGUCGGGACCGAGGACCGC
rnacentral:rRNA from 1 species